AUGCAUCACAACGCCAGGCCAUUUUCCACAUCUUACACUGCCAUGAGCUCUAGGCUUCUCUGCUGGGUGGUUGUUUGUGUCCUGAAAGCAGGCUUAGGCUUCAAGGAUGCUAUGGUCACACAGUUCCCAAGAUAUAAGACCUCCAGGACAGGAAAGGAAUUAACACUACUGUGUUCUCAGAACAUGAAUCACUUUUCAAUGUACUGGUAUCGACAAGACCCAGGACUUGGAUUGCAGCUCACUUAUUACUCAACUGGUAUUGGCAGCAUUGAAAAGGGAGAUGUCUUCAAAGGGUAUCAUGUCUCUCGAAAAGAACAAGAGCAUUUUCCCUUGACCCUGGAGUCUGCCAGUACCAACCAAACAUCUGUGUACUUCUGUGCCAGCAGAUUAUCCACAGCACUGCAACACCACAUCCUCUCCAUACAACAAUGA